rnacentral:misc_RNA from 1 species
GACGGAGGGCGCGAGCGUUGUUCGGAAUCACUGGGCGUAAAGCGCGCGCAGGCGGAUGGGCAAGUCGGAAGUGAAAUCCCGGGGCUCAACCCCGGGACUGCUCCCGAUACUGCCCGUCUAGGGACCGGUAGAGGCUGGUGGAAUUCCCGGUGUAGCGGUGGAAUGCGUAGAUAUCGGGAAGAACACCCGUGGCGAAGGCGGCCAGCUGGGCCGGAUCCGACGCUGAGGCGCGAAAGCGUGGGGAGCAAACAGG